UACGUAGGGUGCAAGCGUUGUCCGGAAUUAUUGGGCGUAAAGAGCUCGUAGGCGGUUUGUCGCGUCUGCUGUGAAAACUCGGGGCUUAACCCCGGGCCUGCAGUGGGUACGGGCAGACUAGAGUGCGGUAGGGGAGACUGGAAUUCCUGGUGUAGCGGUGGAAUGCGCAGAUAUCAGGAAGAACACCGGUGGCGAAGGCGGCUCUCUGGGCCUUACCUGACGCUGAGGAGCGAAAGCGUGGGUAGCGAACAGG
rnacentral:rRNA from 1 species